UACAGAGACUGCGAGCGUUAUUCGGAUUCACUGGGCGUAAAGGGUGCGCAGGUGGCCAAGUGUGUUAGGCGUGAAAGCCCGGGGCUUAACCCCGGAAUUGCACCUAAAACUACUUGGCUAGAGCAUUGGAGAGGGGAGCAGAAUUCACGGUGUAGCAGUGAAAUGCGUAGAUAUCGUGAGGAAUACCAGAGGCGAAGGCGGCUCCCUGGACAAUUGCUGACACUCAGGCACGAAAGCGUGGGGAGCAAAAGGG
rnacentral:rRNA from 1 species